rnacentral:misc_RNA from 1 species
CAGGUGUUGCAGGAGCUUGAUGAGAUGAUUAAAGCUUACCCAGAUUGCUAUGGUAGGAUCAUUGGUUUCGACAAUGUUCGCCAAGUCCAGUGCAUUAGUUUCCUUGCCUACAAGCCUAAGGGCGCUGAAUAAAUCUUUUGAUUUCUCUCUUUCCUCUUUUUUUUUUCCUUUUGGCAAUGCAAUUUGUUCAAUGAGGAUGUUUUUGAAAUAAUUUUCGUUUUCUUGGUUUAGUUUGUAUCUUUUUCUCCUUUCUCAUCGGAGUUUCUCCGACUGAAAUGGGAUGGAAGAUGCAAGGGUCAAUUUUAUAACUAUUGAACAUUUUCUUGGUAUCAAAUGUGAAACUAUGUCGUUUUAAAUUAUUUUUAUGGGUG